GACGAACGCUGGCGGCGUGCUUAACACAUGCAAGUCGAACGGAAAGGCCCUGCUUUUGUGGGGUGCUCGAGUGGCGAACGGGUGAGUAACACGUGAGUAACCUGCCCUUGACUUUGGGAUAACUUCAGGAAACUGCGGCUCAUACCGGAUAGGAGCUCCUGCUGCAUGGUGGGGGUUGGAAAGUUUCGGCGGUUGGGGAUGUACUCGCGGCUUAUCAGCUUGUUGGUGGGGUAGUGGCUUACCAAGGCUUUGACGGGUAGCCGGCCUGAGAGGGUGACCGGGCACAUUGGGACUGCGAGACGGACCAGACUGCUACGGGAGGCAGCAGGGGGGAAUAUGGCAGAACGGGCGGAAGCCUGAUGCAGCAACGUCGCGUGCGGGAUGACGGCCUUCGGGUUGAAAACAGCUUUCGCCUGAGACGAAGCGUGAGUGACGGUAAUGGGUAAAGAAGCACCGGCUAACUACGUG
rnacentral:rRNA from 1 species